rnacentral:rRNA from 1 species
UACGAAGGGGGCUAGCGUUGCUCGGAAUCACUGGGCGUAAAGCGCACGUAGGCGGUUUCUUAAGUCAGGGGUGAAAUCCUGGAGCUCAACUCCAGAACUGCCUUUGAUACUGGGAAGCUCGAGUCCGGAAGAGGUGAGUGGAACUCCGAGUGUAGAGGUGAAAUUCGUAGAUAUUCGGAAGAACACCAGUGGCGAAGGCGGCUCACUGGUCCGGUACUGACGCUGAGGUGCGAAAGCGUGGGGAGCAAACAGG